rnacentral:rRNA from 1 species
UACGAAGGGGGCUAGCGUUGUUCGGAAUUACUGGGCGUAAAGCGUGCGUAGUCGGUUAUUUAAGUCGGGCGUGAAAGCCCCGGGCUCAACCUGGGAAUUGCGUUCGAUACUGGAUAGCUAGAGUUCGGCAGAGGGAAGCGGAAUUUCUGGUGUAGCGGUGAAAUGCUUAGAUAUCGUCAAGAACACCGAUAGCGAAGGCAGCUUACUGGGCUGUAACUGACGCUGAGGCACGAAAGUGUGGGGAUCAAACAGG